AGUGCUCGCCUACGCAUACUAUGUACUAAAGUUAGAAUGAUACAGAGAACUUUAGCAUGGCCCCUGUGCAAGGACAACAUACAAAUUUGUGAAGUGUUCCCUACUUAA